UUUUUUUGGCAAUUAAAGUGUAAGAGGUUAUGUAUAUCAGAACUUAUGAUUCAGAACAUCUGAAACACAAGCUCUGAAGUACUUAACUCUGAUAGAGAAUUUUAAAUAUCUCAAAGGCUCUGAACUAUUUAAGUGGAAAACGUUUAGUAUUCACUGCUGAACAGUUGUCCAUUAAAAUAGCAGUUACCGAGUAAAUUUCUGCACGUGGUCUACGUGUGUCAGGUAGUGGGUGGUUAAUGAUGAUUUUUGGUAUUCAACUUUCUGUCAAUUAGC
rnacentral:lncRNA from 1 species